UGAAAUCGGGUGUUUGGAGCAGGAGUUGAACAAGCGACCUUUGGACCACAGUGUUUCAGGAACUUCUUAAAGUCAUGUGCUCUACCAACUGAGCUAUGAAGGUGCUUAUAGAUACAAACGCAGAAAACAUAGUGGCUUCGGCGACACACUUUGCCAACAAUACAAUUGGACCCACAUGGUCAAUGAAAAAGGUUGAACAGUGCAUAUACCAAUGAAAUCUGGUGCUUGGAGCUGGAGUUGAACCAGCCACCUUUGGACCACAGCGUUUCAGGAACUUCUUAAAGUCAUGUGCUCUACCAACUGAGCUAUGAAGGUGCUUAUAGAUACAAACGCAGAAAACAUAGUGGCUUCGGCGACACACUUUGCCAACAAUACAAUUGGACCCACAUGGUCAAUGAAAAAGGUUGAACAGUGCAUAGACCAAUGAAAUCUGGUGUUUGGAGCUGGAGUUGAACCAGCCACCUUUGGACCACAGCGUUUCUUGAACUUCUUAAAGUCAUGUGCUCUACCAACUGAGCUAUGAAGGUGCUUAUAGAUGCAAAAGCAGAAAACAUAGUGGCUUCGGCGACACACUUUGCCAACAAUAUAAUUGGACCCACUUGGUCAAUGAAAAAGGUUGAACAGUGCAUAGACCAAUGAAAUAUGGAGUUUGGAGCUGGAGUUGAACCAGCCACCUUUGGACCACAGCGUUUCAGGAACUUCUUAAAGUCCUCUGCUCUACCAACUGAGCUAUGAAGGUGCUUAUAGAUACAAACGCAGAAAACAUAGUGGCUUUGGCGACACACUUUGCCAACAAUACAAUUGGACCCACAUGGUCAAUGAAAAAGGUUGAACAGUGCAUAUACCAAUGAAAUCUGGUGCUUUGAGCUGGAGUUGAACCAGCGACCUUUGGACCACAGCGUUUCAGAAACUUCUUACAGUCCUCUGCUCUACCAACUGAGCUAUGAAGUGCUCAUAGACACAACUGCAGAAAACAUAGUGGCUUCGGCGACACACUUUGCCAACAAUACAAUUGGACCCGCAUGGUCGAUGAAAAAGGUUGAACAGUGCAUACACCAAUGAAAUCUAGUGUUUGGAGUAGGAGUUGAACCAGCCACCUUUGGACCACAGCGUUUCAGGAACUUCUUAAAGUCAUGUGCUCUACCAACUGAGCUAUGAAGGUGCUUAUAGAUACAAACGCAGAAAACAUAGUGGCUUCGGCGACACACUUUGCCAACAAUAUAAUUGGACCCACAUGGUCAAUGAAAAAGGUUGAACAGUCCAUAGACCAAUGAAAUCUUGUGUUUGGAGCAGGAGUUGAACCAG